rnacentral:rRNA from 1 species
AUACGUAGGGAGCGAGCGUUGUCCGGAAUUACUGGGCGUAAAGGGUGCGUAGGCGGCAAGGCAAGUCAGAUGUGAAAUCCCCGGGCUUAACCCGGGAGCUGCAUUUGAAACUGCCGUGCUUGAGUGCAGGAGAGGAAAGCGGAAUUCCUAGUGUAGCGGUGAAAUGCGUAGAUAUUAGGAGGAACACCAGUGGCGAAGGCGGCUUUCUGGACUGUAACUGACGCUGAGGCACGAAAGCGUGGGGAGCAAACAGGAUUAGAUACCCUGGUAGUCCACGCUGUAAACGAUGGAUACUAGGUGUGGGGGAGCUACAACCUCCGUGCCGCAGCAAACGCAAUAAGUAUCCCGCCUGGGGAGUACGGUCGCAAGGCUGAA